rnacentral:rRNA from 1 species
AUGAACGCUGGCGGCGCGCCUAAUACAUGCAAGUCGAGCGAGAAGACGUAGCAAUACGUUUGUAAAGCGGCGAACGGGUGAGGAAUACAUGGGUAACCUACCCUCGAGUGGGGAAUAACUAGCCGAAAGGUUAGCUAAUACCGCGUACGCUCCUUGGACUUCGGUUCAGGGAGGAAAGCGAUACCGUGGGUAUCGCGCUCUUGGUUGGGCUCAUGUCCUAUCAGCUUGUUGGUGAGGAAUGGCUCACCAAGGCUUCGAUCUGUAGCUGGUCUGAGAGGACGGCCAGCCACACUGGCACUGACACACGGGCCAGACUCCUACGGGAGGCAGCAGUGGGGAAUUUUGGGCAAUGGGCGAAAGCCUGACCCAGCAACGCCGCGUGAGGGAGGAAAUCCUCGGGAUGUAAACCUCACAAGCAAGGGAAGAGAGCUACGGGCU